UACAGCUCUGUGGUUGGGGCCAAAGGCCCUGGUGACGUGGGCUCACAAGGGGAAUCUCCUAUUUUCUGAGUUGCAAAGGUCCAUGGCAAAAGCAUGGUUUCCCAGGGGGCAUAGCACAAUCACUUACCGCCUCUCUUGCCUGGCGGGGGAAGGGAGCUCCCCUUACCCCGUGUAGCUCCUAGGUGGGCUGUUGCCCCACCCUGCUUUUCCUUGCUCUCCGUGGGUCACAACAACUGCCUAGUCAUGAUGAGAGAACCUGAAUACCUCAGUUGAAGGUGCAGAAUUAACUUGUGAUUUUCAUUUUUUUUGGUAAGAGCCACACACUGCAGCUGCUUCUGACACUGCAUUCUGAUGGACCAGCUGGCACCAUGCAGACUAGUAAACUGGUCUUGUGGCCUCUCAUCUGGUCUUGCGGCCUCUACCCAGAAACUGACUCAGUGAAAGGCCUAGAAAAGGAAGACCUGGUUGCACUAAUGAGUUGGUCUGCAGAUGAGAAUUUCUCCAACUCAAUCUGCUGGCCAAGUUACAGCCAUUUCAAAUAUGUCAAAGAAAUUUAUUCAAGGGUUGGAGUACUGUGGUGCAAUUUCAGCUUAUUGCAGCCUCAACCUUUCUGGACUCAGUCAUCCUCCCACCUCAGCCUCCCAAGUAGCCAGGACUACGUGGGACUACAGAAAAAAUGAAGACCCAAAUUUGAUAUUUUAAAAAUAAGUACAUGGUGGUUUUCUCCAUUAAGAACACAAAAGCCUAUGAAAAACAGCUAUGUAAAGUAUUUCCUCACUUGGCACACUACAUUCUAAUGAACAGAUACUCAUUUAAGAAUGAAUAGCAGGGAUGGGCGCAGUGGCUCACGCCUGUAAUCCCAGCUUUGGGAGGCCGAGGCAGGCAGAUCACCUGAGGUCAGGAGAUUGAGACCAGACUGACCAACAUGGUGAAACCCUGUCUCUACUAAAAACUAAAAAUACAAAAUAUUAGACAGGCGUGGUGGUGGCUGCCCCUAAUCCCAGCUACUUGGGAGGCUGAGGCAGGAGAAUCCCUUGAACCUGGAAGGCAGAGGUUGCCGUGAGCUGAGAUGGCACCAUUGCACUCCAGCCUGGGCGACAAGAACAAAGCUCCAUCUCAAAACAACAACAAAAAAAAAACAAAAAGAUUAAAUGACUGUUCACUUAGGUAUAUCUGUCCAGACCCAGGUGCAAAGAGAUGGGCAAUUCAAACUUACAAUUGAGAAGAUUUUAAUGAAAGAGCUAUUUACAGAGGUUUAGAGAAGAGAAGGGAUAGUGCAAUAUCGGAAGGCCAGUGACCACCACAGACAUCUGUUAACACCCCUAGGCUUGAAAACACAAGGGGAUGGAGCAGUGCCUGAACCCAGACACAUAGCUGUAUGGCUGGGGCAGCCUGACAAAGCCAUUGUGCAGGAACCCAGAAGGAAAGUAGUCUGACCUUAUUUUUGUUUCAGCUUCUUAACUUCUGCUAAUGCCUCCAAUGAAAGAACCUAUUUGGAAGGCAGAGGGCAAGGAAGCCACCUACAACAGUGGUAAAAGCUGAGGAGGUAAAUGUGGGGAGUGGAUCUGAAAAAAAAGAAAAAAAAAUAGAGGGAUGACUACCACAUAGGUAGAGCACAUCUUCAAUGAAUGUCUACUCUUCUGCACCUCACAAAGUGGUAUUUUAUUAAAAAGUCUGAAAAGAACCUCCUCUGAACUAUUGAUCGUGCUGAUUUCUUAGAAAUGAAAUUGGAUAGUGUGAAGAGAGGAGUUUAUACACCUUUUAGGUGAAGGAAAAUUAAGACGAGGAUAAAAAGGAUGAGUUAAAAAAAGAAAGAUUACAAUGAUUCCCAAAUUCCUUUUUAGAUUUUCUGUGUUUGGCAAAUUUCCCGCAUAAAAAAAGUGUUAAGUUUGAAAUUAUAAAAGUUGAAACUUUGUAAAAUGCUAAAAUUGUGUCUAAGUUGACCUUUAUACAUUUAUUUUAAUUCCAAU
rnacentral:lncRNA from 1 species